rnacentral:rRNA from 1 species
UACGUAGGGUGCGAGCGUUGUCCGGAAUUAUUGGGCGUAAAGAGCUCGUAGGCGGUGUGUCGCGUCGGCCGUGAAAACCUGGGGGCUUAACUCUGGGCGUGCGGUCGAUACGGGCAUCACUGGAGUUCGGCAGGGGAGACUGGAAUUCCUGGUGUAGCGGUGAAAUGCGCAGAUAUCAGGAGGAACACCGGUGGCGGAAGGCGGCUCUCUGGGACGGUACUGGACGCUGAGACGCGAAAAGCCGUGGGGAGCGAACAGGG